CAAUUCGAGUAUUAUCUAGGGUUCAUAUAAAUGAGAGGGGAUCUGGGUAACUAGUACAGGACGCCAGGAAGAUAUCCUUAUAAGAUAUACAGAUCUCACCAAGCUGUCUACAAAAAAGAAAAUUUAAUAUGAAUUGGUGGAUACUUGUCGCAAUUUCUGCUGCUACAACAACAUAUGUCCAAGCUGAUACAUGUGCCGAAUGUAUAGAGGCAUACAGCAAGAGUUCACAGUCAUGCACGGAUGCAAAUACUUACUCAACGUGUGCAACUGAUUCUGCUAGCGAUGCUUGCAGUACCACUGAAAAAAGUACAGCCACUGAUGCAAUUGCAUCCAAAUGUACAACUGCUACAUGUAAUAACUGUACCACUGCAUAUGAUACUGGUGUGGCCGCGGCUGAUGCUAAUAAUUGCACUGUAGCUGAGACAUAUGUAACAUGUUUAAAUGGUGUGAGUGAUAACUGUACUGAUACUACUGGUACCACUGUAACACUGGCUGACACAAAAACAGAAGCUGGCAAGAAGGAGACAGAAUUUUGCAAUUCCGCUGGUAGUUUAAAUGUUUCUGUGAUGCUUACUUCAUUGAUGAUGGCUGUCGUUUCCUUAGUUCGAGUAUAAAUUUCAUAAAUCCCAACACUGUUGUUUUUAUUUAUUUCUAACAAUGUCAAUACUAUAGCUUUAAAUAUGUGAAUUUUUUGUUAAUUUAUAAAAUUGAAGGUAAUAUUUUAUAGCAGCAGUGUAGAACUUCUAUUGUCGAUUUAAGAUCUUCCAUAUACAUGUACGUAGAACUUCUAUCGCAGAUUUAAGACCCUCUCAAAAAUUUUAGUCUCACAGGAUUGUAUAACAAAAAACUUUUAUAUAAUACAUUAUUAUUGGUGUGAUAGUUGUAAACUGUUAUUUCUUUAAUUAUCAAAGUGUUUAAAAUGUUUUAUAUUAUUGUUUAAGAUUUAUUUUAAUACACGUAGAACUUCUGUUUGAUUUUGUUUCUCGAACUGAUGUUUAGCCGGUAUGAUGUUAGUUUGAUUUUAACUGACGGAUAAAAAUAAAGGUUGUAUGAAUUUCGGAAAUAAAACCUGAAAACA